rnacentral:rRNA from 1 species
UGGGGAAUAUUGCACAAUGGGGGAAACCCUGAUGCAGCAACGCCGCGUGAAGGAAGACGGUUUUCGGAUUGUAAACUUCUGUUCUUAGUGAAGAAUAAUGACGGUAGCUAAGGAGCCAAGCCACGGCUAACUACGUGCC